rnacentral:rRNA from 1 species
GACGAACUGUGCGAACGUUAUUCGGAAUCACUGGGCUUACAGGGUGCGUAGGCGGCUUGUUAAGUCGGGUGUGAAAUCCCCCGGCCCAACCGGGGAAUGGCGCUCUAAACUAGCAGGCUUGAGUGAGCUAGGGGUACACGGAACUUCCAGUGGAGCGGUGAAAUGUGUUGAUAUUGGAAGGAACACCGGAGGCGAAAGCGGUGUACUGGGGCUCAACUGACGCUGAGGCACGAAAGCCAGGGGAGCGAACGGG